ensembl:lncRNA GBA1LP glucosylceramidase beta 1 like, pseudogene
AGUCAUCACAUGACCCAUCCACAUUGGGAAGCCAGAAUUACUUGCAGGAGUAACCUAGUGCCUAUAGCUAUGGCAGGUACCUGCAUCCUUGUUUUUGUUUAGUGGAUCCUCUAUCCUUCAGAGACUCUGGAACCCCUGUGCUCUUCUCCUCAUCUAGUGACCCUGAGGUGAUGGAGUUUUCAAGUCCUUCCAGAGAGGUGCCUUCAGCCGCUACAAGAGCAGAAGCAGUGGGCAUUGGAUGGAGCUGAGUACAGGACCAUACAGGCUAAUUGCACCGGCACAGGAAUCGGAUAUAACAUCAUCUGGGUACCCAUGGCCAGCUGUGACUUCUCCAUCCGCACCUACACCUAUGCAGACACCCCUGAUGAUUUCCAGUUGCACAACUUCAGCCUCCCAGAGGAAGAUACCAAGCUCAAGGUUCCUGGAUGCCUAUGCUGAGCACAAGUUACAGUUCUGGGCAGUGACAGCUGAAAAUGAGCCUUCUGCUGGGCUGUUGAGUGGAUACCCCUUCCAGUGCCUGGGCUUCACCCCUGAACAUCAGCGAGACUUCAUUGCCCGUGACCUAGGUCCUACCCUUGCCAACGGUACUCACCACAAUGUCCGCCUACUCAUGCUGGAUGACCAACGCUUGCUGCUGCCCCACUGGGCAAAGGUGGUACUGACAGACCCAGAAGCAGCUAAGUAUGUUCAUGGUAUUGCUGUACAUUGGUACCUGGACUUUCUGGCUCCAGCCAAAGCCACCCUAAGGGAGACACACCACCUGUUCCCCAACACCAUGCUCUUUGCCUCAGAGGCCUGUGUGGGUUCCAAGUUCUGGGAGCAGAGUGUGCGGCUAGGCUCCUGGGAUCGAGGGAUGCAGUACAGCCACAGCAUCAUCACAAACCUCCUGUACCAUGUGGUCGGCUGGACCGACUGGAACCCAUCAUUGUAGACAUCACCAAGCACACGUUUUACAAACAGCCCAUGUUCUACCACCUUGGCCACUUCAGCAAGUUCAUUCCUGAGGGCUCCCAGAGAGUGGGGCUGGUUGCCAGUCAGAAGAACGACCCGGACGCAGUGGCACUGAUGCAUCCCGAUGGCUCUGCUGUUGUGGUCGUGCUAAACCGCUCCUCUAAGGAUGUGCCUCUUACCAUCAAGGAUCCUGCUGUGGGCUUCCUGGAGACAAUCUCACCUGGCUACUCCAUUCACACCUACCUGUGGCGUCGCCAGUGAUGGAGCAGAUACUCAAGGAGGCACUGGGCUCAGCCUGGGCAUUAAAGGGACAGAGUCAGCUCACACGCUGUCUGUGACUAAAGAGGGCACAGCAGGGCCAGUGUGAGCUUACAGCGACGUAAGCCCAGGGGCAAUGGUUUGGGUGACUCACUUUCCCCUCUAGGUGGUGCCAGGGGCUGGAGGCCCCUAGAAAAAGAUCAGUAAGCCCCAGUGUCCCCCCAGCCCCCAUGCUUAUGUGAACAUGCGCUGUGUGCUGCUUGCUUUGGAAACUGGGCCUGGGUCCAGGCCUAGGGUGAGCUCACUGUCCGUACAAACACAAGAUCAGGGCUGAGGGUAAGGAAAAGAAGAGACUAGGAAAGCUGGGCCCAAAACUGGAGACUGUUUGUCUUUCCUGGAGAUGCAGAACUGGGCCCGUGGAGCAGCAGUGUCAGCAUCAGGGCGGAAGCCUUAAAGCAGCAGCGGGUGUGCCCAGGCACCCAGAUGAUUCCUAUGGCACCAGCCAGGAAAAAUGGCAGCUCUUAAAGGAGAAAAUGUUUGAGCCCA